CAGCCUAUAUGCUAUCCAAUCGAAGUCCAAAACUGCUCCAAAUUGCUCCAUUUGGCUAUCUAUUGUCAUCUUUACCAACUGGACAUACAAUAAUAAGAAAAUAACUUAAAUUACUACAAUAAAUGGAAAUUAACUAAGAAAAUACAAAGAAAUAAGAUAACAAAGUUGAAUAAAUAUGCUUCUAUCAACAAAUAUGAGUUUUAACUCAAAACUCAUUUAUGAGGCAAAUUUAGGCUAGCAUUUUCCCUGGGUUAGUAGGGCUGGCCCAUCAUAUACGUGUAUUUUUUUUUUCAAUUUUAUAUUUAUAAAUUCAUUGAAUCCAAUGGCUAAGAUCUAAUAUGAUCAAAUCCAACAGUUAAAAAAAGAUCUAACAAUCCAAAUUUAAAUCGAAUGGCUAAAGUAAUUAAGAAAAAUUCUUUUAUUUGUUUCAUAUUCUUUAAUAGCGUUCCACGAGUUUUUGUCGAAGUUCCUUUUGAGUGCAAAUAUAAGGAUAGUAUAGUGGCACAAGUAAGGGUGUCGAACCACAGGGAAUGAGAAACAACUUAGUAAAACCUUUUACAAAUUAGUAUUAGUUAAAGACUCCUAUGAUUUAGUAAAACCUUUUACAAAUUAGCAUUAGUUAAAGACUCCUAUGACUUAAAAUGGGGGGUUUGAGUAAUUUUGGAAAAGAAAUAAAGGCAAAAAGAAAAGGGAAAAAUUAGAACUAUCUAAAAACAAACCUAAGACAUGGAAUAGAUUAGAAACGUUUUUAGGACAUAAAUUUGACUUCAAAUGAACACAGGUCUACUAAACAUUCAUGAAUCAGUGAUAUGAUCUUUUAACUUAUCCUUUUCAAAUGCACAACUAAGAUGUUCACAUAUCUAGCAUGGCAUAUAACUAGAUUGUAUGAAUCCUCUCUUACUUUGCAUGUUAGAUGCAUGUCAUAUACAUAAAACUUAUAUUUGUAAGUGCAACCUAGCAUGACAUAUACUCAGAUUUAGUACCUAGAAACUCAUUAAGAACGAAGAAGAUCAUGAACCCUAGAACAUGUCAUUUAUCCUAGAACUUCAUGGAAUCAAUUUACAUGAUUAGUUUUAAACCUAACCACAUGUUGCUAAUGAAUGAAAGAAGAUAUGGCAGUAAUCCUUAUCAUUCUCAACAGAAAGCAAACAUAAACAAGGUAGCUAAGCUUGAAAAUAUGUGCUUGAAAUGAUUGAAACAGAAAACCGAUUCUAGCUUGCAAAUGAAAUUGAUAAACUAAAAACUGCAUCAUAACAUUAAUGCAAUCAUGUCUAGGAUUUCAAAGUAGCCCUAAGUAUCCAUAAAAACAAAAUACAUAAAAAGUCAGGAAAGCUAGAACCUAGAAAACAGCUCAAGGCUGAAGACUCUUGCUCUCUCCCUAGAUUCUCCUCCUUCUGUUGAGUAUUUGUCUCCUAUUAAAAGGCUUAGGACUUAUCUAAAAUCUGACACAUAUACAUCCUUGAAUUUACUCUCAUUUAUAACUCAUAACAACCAGCUUUUAGUAUUGGAGUAACUAAAAUCUAGUUGUUAUCAGAAUUUGUAACUGAACAGCUCCUCUUUAUUCUGUUAUAACUUCUUGUCGAAACUUCCAAAUCACAAGUUGUAAAGGCCAUCAGAAAGAAGACUUCCAGGGCUUUCCAACCAUAUAUGGCCUAUUUUCUAAUUCGUU
rnacentral:lncRNA from 1 species